AUCCGUGCUCCCGCCCUCCGGGUCCGCGUCUCCUGCAGCGGAGGCCCCCGUUCGCUGCCUGCCUCGGAGCAGGGGAACCAAACAGAGGUGUGAGCCCUGCUGGGCUCCGUGCCCUACCCCCCCGGUCCCCCUUUAAAAGCCACCGAGCCACACCUAAAACCCCAUCUGGACAUCUUCAUGGCGUGGGCACGCUGACCCCAGGCCCUCCUUUCUUUUUGUGCCCAGAGGCCUAAGGGAGAACCCAGGCCUCAGCCUGCCCGCCGCCUUCCUCCCCCCCCCGCCACCCCGCGUCCGACUUCCCUUCCUCGCUCCUCCAAACACAUCCUCGUCCCCCCCUCCACCCCCCCGGUCCCCGCCUUGAGGGGAUUCACAGUGUUGUCCCUGCGCUGGGCCCGGCCUUCCCGGCGCUUCCGUGCUGCAGCGGCUGCUGGGAAUAAUGGAGGUUGCUGUCUCUGUGUCUCCCUGCCUCACUGUUUACAAUAUGGCGACCUUCCUUUAAAUUAUAUUUUUAUUCUGAGCGCCAUUUUGGCUGCAUAUGUGACUUCCAAAGCCUUGCAGCGCUUCCUGAGUAUCUCAAUUGUGAAAAUACUUUCCCCGCAGAAAUCUGGGCCUCUGGACUUUUAAAAUUGGCUCGCCUUAUUUCUUUCCCUCCUUUUUCCUUCAUCCUGACUCCGGAGACGUGCUUGUCUCAUCCUUGGGGAACGACUGCCGUGAAUUUCGGGGUAGCCAGGCCCUCUUGCUGGGAGUUGUGCAGCUUUGUUGAUAAAAGCAGAUCUUUUUGCAUGCAAAUCUGGAGCUGGAGGUGCGCGCGGAGGCGGUUGCGACGCUGUUCGGUGGAGGCUGAAGCAGGGAGGGCUCCGGGGCCUCACCUCGAGCGCUUCCCAAGCGCACGGCACAAAGCCAGCCCUCAACUUUCCGCAGCGGAGUUUUCCUCCGUUGUGCACCGGGAAAUGCACCGGGGGCUGCGGUGCCCGUUCCGCUCGCUCAACAGUUGACACAGGCGGAGGGUUUGUGUUAAAUUAGCGCAGCCGGAGUGGAUAAUGGAGUGGAGGAGGGAGCGGGGCGAGUCAAACAGCUGGAGCUCAGGCGUACCGAGUAUUCUUCCUUAGGGGAGAUUUUUUAACCGCAUUCCUUUCUCUCUUUCAUGCUUUGGAGCUUUUUGUUUGCCACCCCGUUACAGCUGUCUCCUCUCUUUACUUAUUUUUUACCUAUUCCUUUCUCUUUGCUCGGUGGUUAUGCCGCGUUUGUAUGCUAAUUGCAGGUCUCUGAACACUUAUUAAACUGAUUGCUGAUACCGGGAAAACUGAAUGUGUGGUCGCAGUUGUGCAGGGAGUGUCCCGUUAGCAGCACGCAGCCAGACCAGCCCAACAAUGCUGUAGCAAGCAGCCAUGACAUCAUCCCUCCUGCCCCGAGGAAGUGCUGCUGGUGGUUGGGCACAUCCUCUGCAUUUACUAGAAUGACACCGACGUUUUCUUCCUCCGACCUUCUCUGUGGGCUUUAAUUUAAGGGCUUUUUUCUUACACUGGUUGGAGUCGCUUAAAACUCGGUGUUUGCUUGCAGAUGCUGUUGAGUGCAUCCUGAGCCUUCUCUCGCAGAGGCUUCACGCUUGUGUUUUCAGAUGGAAGGGCCGUGACUAAUGCUGCAAAGUUUCUUAAUUGACUCCGAAUCCUGGCUCAUCCUAACUGUAAAUGAGUCCACUCUGCGCAAGGCGAAAUCUGGCUACAGUUCAUGACUUAAUUUGGCAAGAUUCUUGUAGCCAGUGGGAAAUGGUCAUGUAAAUCAGACAUCUAGAGAGGUUUGGCUGUGCUCAAGUUGGUUACAGGAUAAUUACAAAAAUUCUUUGGCUAACUAGUCACCCUUCAGGACAAAAGCAGAAGGUGCAGCUCUGGUUAUUCCUUCUCGCUUUUGUUGUUCCCUUCCUUGGGCUAUCUCUGGGCGAGCACUCAGGAACAGCAGAAGCCCCGGCCUUGCCGAGGCCUUGGAGCAAACCAGGUAGUCUCAAAGCAAUGCUUGGCUUUUAUAUCCAUGUUUUCUUCCCUUCACCUUCUACAUCUUGCUUAAAGUAAACUUCCGUUCAGGAUAUAAACUCAGGCAUAAAGGCAGCACUUGAAACUUCCUUUCUGCCUUUUUUAAUUAUUGUUUUUAUUUAAAGAAUAACAGCUGUAAUGCAAUGCUUGCUUAAGUGAUUUUGAAUAGCAGUUUAGCUAUACUGGCUGAAUUGUGUUGGCAGCUUAACUGUUCUUUUAAUAUUUAUUGUAAGCUUUAGUGCUAGGUUGCAUUUAUUAUCCGUAUAGCAAAAAAAAAGAAAAAAAAAAAAGAGCAUUUAAUUGGCCAAGGAAUUGUAAUCAGUCCAUAAAAGGAGAGAUCAAGGUGUGGUCAGCUCAGAGACGACCCCAGCUCCGUGGCCACAGACCAGUUUCGUUUCUGCCUACAUAGAAACGAUGCUCCACGGCGCCGUGCUGUGUGAACAUGCUUGCUCAAAAUCCCCCAAACUUCCCAAGUGUGAUAGCACCACGCCCCUCUGAUGGGAAAUUACAAGUUAUGUCGAUGCACAGUGGGAAUGGCUGCUCUCCUUGGGGGUGGAAGGGCCAUCCUGGUUCAGCUGUUGGGGUUUCAGCUCUUCUCACAACGCGAAGUCGCUGCUUUGAUGUAGAACUCCUCCAGGUACUGGUGAGAGAGGAUGGAGGAUGCUGCUGGGGCUGUGGGCUGGCUGCAGAUAAAGGGCCUGGUGGGAGAGAAUGGGAAAGUGCAAAACUCCUUCAGGUUCAACACCUUUGGGUUAUUGUCUUCAGGUUUGAAUUUCCAGAGUGUUUUUUCCUCUCCUUGGAAACAGUAUGUGAUUUUUUUUUUUUUUAGCUCCCAAGUCUGACUUUGGUUGUGCUGUUCAGCUGGAACCUGCUGCUUGGGUGAUGGGGCAGUGCACGUUUUCAUUCUGAUGUUGUGUCUUAACUCAGGCCCCUGCCUUCCAUCUUCACACAUUUGAGAAAAAAAAAAAAAAAAGUUUUAUUUUCCAGUACUUCUGCUAUUCAUCCCCAUCUACAUCCUCCUCCUGGAUGUGUGAUUGUUAAAGUUCCCUUUAUUUUCUUACGCCUGUUUGCAAAGCGAGCGAUGUUGCAAAUUCAUUCCAGCCUCAGUGGAGGAUUAGAAAGGUCCCUGGGAGAGGAAAAGUUUAGUUAGCAAGCAGGGGGAGGGGAGGGGAAUAACACAGCCCAGUGUUGUGCUUCUUUUCAAGUCUCGCUGCCUGAGCUGCUGCGUGGAGGAGCCCGCUCAGAGCCGCUCACCCAGUGAACGCCGCUGUUGCUGUCCCUCUUGUGAUUGUGUGCUGCUGAGGAAGCACUGCUAAUGGGGCAGAGUGACCUGAGCUGCCCUAAACCCACCAGCUGCCCGUCGCAGUGAGCAGGCAGUGCCAUGCAGUGAUGCUGCCCGGCGGUGGGCUUCCCUUUGCUGCAUCUGUGGCUCUUCUGGGAGAAAUACACCGCGUCCCUCCUGGGCCCUGCGAGCUCCAUCAGCCUUCCUGCAGCACUUGCCUCUUUGUGUUUAUAUUUGGAGCGUUUGGCUCCGUUUCCUCUCCGCUUUGGCAGUCUUCUCCCGAGAGCUGUUGUCGAAGAACUGGAGUAACAGAGCUGCAAAGAGAAGUAGACGAGGCUAAGCUAGCCUGAGUUUUGCAUAUUUUCUGUGAGUCACAUCAGUUAAACUCUUUGCACGUAGAAUGGAAAAACGUUGUGUUUAACUGUGGGACAUUAGUAACUCUUUCCCUACCUUAUUCAGGUCUAAAAUGUCCUGCCUUAUCUCGGCAUUUGGUCUAGCUGUGAUUUUUGCAUAAAUAUCCAUUCUGUGUGGGGGGCGAGGAGGAAAGCAUUAGCCUGGCUAUUGUCUUUGCUAUUCAUGCCCCUCAGGUGGUGCUUUGGCCGCCUCAGGCUUUCAGGUGAAGCUUUGAAAGGCCCAAAGCAUCUACAGGGAGCAGCAGGGCGGCCAGAAAACUGCCCUGGAGGCUGACUUAGCCCUAGGAGAAGUGAGGAGUGGGCAAGGCAACAGCUUUUUGUGCAUCUCUGGUUCUGGCAUUUCAGAACUGUUGGGGCCACUGUAGUCUAGAUCCCAAAGCAGAAGGAAGCGGUUGCUCUGGCCUGGUUUCUCGGUGCAGAGGGUCACUGCGCAUGUGCCUGCAGAUGUGGUAACAUGAUCGGUCUUGGCAGUUCUCUGAAGCAGAGUUGUACCAAUGUAAUCUUUCGCUCUCCUUAUUUUCGUCCCUAAAUCUCUCGCUGCAAAACCAGAUAAGGUCAACUUAAACGUGCGACCUUAAGCUGAGGGCACCGGGAAACCACUGAUAAUAAGGACUUCAUGAACUAAUCUCAUUCUUUUUUUUUUUUUGUUUUGUUUUGCAACCAGCAAAUCACAAUUCUCACCCGCGUGCGCUCGUGUUAAACCGAGCGUGAGCGCAUUCAGCAGCGUGGGCAGGAGCGUGGCACUCGUGUGGCACCGUGGGUCACUGCUGCUCCCGGCGUCACAGCAAAGCAGGGAGCUCGCAAGGCAGUGGGAUUCUCUCCGUAUCAACAAGGGGGAUGUUGUAGCUGCUUCACUUACGCUUUGUCUUCAGGCGCAGCCCGGCGUUAUGUCAGACAUCCGUAAUCUGAAGGGCGCGGUGCGAGGCCGUUAAUAAGGAAAGUUCUCCGCCGUGUUGUCCCUUGGCUUGGGAAGGUGCCGGUUUUAUGCUGACCGGGAUACAUGGGGCUGAGAAGUCUUUUAUUUUUUUCCUGCUGUUCUGGAGUCGGUGUUUGAGUUGCCCCGAACAAGCUGCGUUGGUGGCAGCGGCUCAUUGGGAAGCAGCGCGCGUGGCCUCGUUAGCUGCUCCUCCUGCUCUGUCAGACCUGCAGGCAUGACUCACGGGAGCGUUUGAAAACGUGGAAAGGUCUUCCCAGAGGAAUUCCAGCUCCUCUAGGCAUUUGCAAAGGAAAUUCUUAAUUGGAUUAGGUUCAUAAUGCUAAUCUGCUAAUGACUGUUUGUUAUGGAGAUCCUAGCGCUAUCCUGUAAAUAUAUUCACCUUAAUUUAGCUCGCCUUGUGCCUUUUUAUCGCGCACAAGCUCAGUGCUGUUGAGAUUAUACAGCUGCCUGUGGAUCUUACAGCUGGGAAUGGGAGAAGGACCACUGUGCGUGGUACACAACGUGGUGUGAUGCUCUCCUAAUUCUCACUGCUCUCUGUUUCCCAGAGCUGCUUGAGGUGGGAUAGGAAAUGGGCAGCAGCAGGGGUGGAUGUUAAACUGUGUCGAUCCUACAGUGAGUCAGUGGUAGGUGGCAGUUCUUGAGCCUCCCCUGUGCUCUGGAGCCCUGUUGCUCCUCAGGUGGGUAGCAAGGAGCAGGAAUCCACUGGGAAGCAAGCAGCAGUUACUUACAGGAAAGAGAUGUAUCUUCCUGAAGGCAAGUGUUGCAAAGUCUGAGCCUUCAGGGAGCCCUGCCUGUUGGAAUAUAAAUCACAUGUGAGAAUGACUACCUGUUUUUUUUUGCUUUUUUUUUUUUUUUAACCACUCCGGAAGUAAGCUUGGACUUCUGAAAACGCUAAUGUAUCUCAGAAUAUAAUACAGCUUUGUUCUAGGGAUAUGGAGUGCUGGAUUCAAAAGUAUCUUGCCACGUCAAGUUACUGGCGGACGCUGCGAUUUUACGAUGCGGUCAGAUUGUCAGAGGCAGCUUUUCCUUAGAGCAGCCCGUGCACGGUGCCUGCAGCCCCGCAGCAGCUAGAUGCCUGCCCAGCUUUUGGAAGGAAGGCUCCAGUGUCUCUGUCAGCUGAGUAAAACUGUCGGUGUGUCAGAUCUCCAGCACAAAAAGCAUCUCGGGCAGCUGGGGGAACCGCAGCGCCGAGCCCAGCUCUAACCUAUUUCUGCUGACGUCUGCUCUGCACGAGUCACUUGAAGUAAACGAGAUGGAGCUGGAGAUUACCGACUUUGAACCCCGCAGAAAGCAGUGGCCUGAGGAUGCAAUUUGGCAGGCUGAAAACCCCAUGCUGAAUUCCUGGCAAGCGGGAGUGAUUGGUGUGAAACACCUGCCUCCAGCCUCUGACUUGGGGCAGGCGUCACGUGAGCUUCCCGGAGAUCUCGGGCUAGAAUAGCAACAGGAGCAGGAUGUGAAGGUGAUCGGGAAAGGCAGAAGGGAUUUAUACCCUCUCUUAGGGUUUUGCUGGGGUGGGAGUGGAGGGAUAUUUUUAUUGCUCUUCAUUUCCCUUUCCUCCCCGGUGUUCUCGGGAAAGCCUAGCCCACACGUAGGUGUCGGAAUUAUACCUCGCUUGUGUCUGUGUGAAACUGAAUUCAUAUUUUUGCUUUUAUGGUCUGUGUGUCAGCUUCCUCUGAUGUGCUGCUUUCUCUGCUUUUGGUCUCUCUUUGCCACCUUAUUGCUUCCGUCCUUUCAGCCCCUCUCCUUUGAACACGCUCGGUAUCGCUGGGGCUGAAUGCGUUCACCUUUCAGAAACCUCUCAAACCCGUGUUUUCAUUUUUUUUUUUUUUUUUCAGUAGAGCUGUCUCUUCAUUUAUUGUUCUUCCGAGACAAAAUUGGGUGAACUGGCUCUCACUAGAGCUCUGUUGUUCCUCAGCCCCGUUUCUUUUCCCUGUUGCUUCCCUAUGUGUCAUCCUGCUUUGAGAAGAUGACUUCUAAUCUGUUAAGAAGAUGGUGCUAUAGAGAUCUGAACACUUGAUGAAUGUGGCCAUUGAAUUCAGGCUAUUGUUACCAUUGUCUGCGGCACAGGCACAAGGAGUGGUGCAUGGGAUAGAAAUAGGUUGUGCAAAAUGUCUGAAUUUCAGAGUGUGAACCAAAUUUUCCAAAGUCAACAAGUCUUAUUGACUUCUGAAUAGCGAUACAGAGCCAGACAGUUCACGUGCAGGUAUGUCCCUAAUCACAGAAUUCAAAAGCAGCCAAGCCAAUUGAGAAACAGAACAACACCAAACAAAAGAAGGCGACUGGAGGGCGCGUGUUUCUUUCAAUCACAUUUAUUUAUAUAGAUACAUACUUACUUUUGUAUAUGGAAAUCCAAUAUCUUAAAAAACCACUUUUUUCUUUAUUUUUUUUCUACUGUUAAUGAGAGUAAUAGCUAAUGGCUUGCCUGGGGACCGGUCUCUGUAGGCCAGGUCCUUCCUAUGAAUAGAAGCAAGCAAUUACAUCAGGGGAUCACGUGUUUACCUGCGGCUUAACCGCUUUAUUGGACACUCCUGAUUGUCAGGUCCGAGACAAAAAGCUGCACUUUACCAUAUGCAGGAAGAAGAAAGAAGCAUGCAAUGAAUGACGCUUUGGGAUGCAGCGUACCUGGCGACAUAGAGAUGUUAGCAUGCCUUAAUCUUUCUGUGCUUGCCUCUUGCUGUCUGGCUGUAUCACGGCGUUUUAAUCCCGCGUCUGUUCUCUGUCUGUUGCUCAGCCCUCAUUUCUAACUCUGUUUGAAAGAUGCGUGCUGAGCAGAGGCACUGUUGCAGAUGAUGGGAUGAUUGGUGUCGUGUGAAACGGCCAUUUCUGUUCUCCUCCUUACCGAGUGGCAGCCAAAGUAAUCACAUGCUGACCUGUCUGGGGUGUCCAUCUUUCCCUGCUAGAUGUACCAACAUCUCCCUGCCUCUAUGGACACGUUCAAGGCUUUGACUUCAGAGCAAACAAACUGAGCUGACUGCUGUUAAGCUUUUUUCCACUCGUUUCCUCUGGGGAGGGGAAUCUGUACUACAGAUAAAAGUACAGCAGCUGAUGCUUGGCCGUUAACAUGAACUGCACUGCUGGCUGUAAGUAGGUAUAACAUAUGCAAUAUGUGAGCCUACUGGAGUCCAGAAAACUCUGGACUCUUAGUUUGGAUGUGAUCAGGUCAUGCUUAGAGGUUGCUGAAGAACUGUGCUGAGCUUGUCUGAAGUUUGGUGAUCCCUGCUGUGGUGCUUGUGUUCAGCAGCAGCAUUGCUGCUUGCACUCCUGAGCAUCAGAACUGUCCAUUUGAAUGAGUUUGAAGAACUUGCUGUAGAACUUCACCGGUCCAUCUGUGUCGAGGAGCCAUCUGGAUGCUACCGGAACAAAGGAGAGCGCUGUCACCGUUCCUAAUAAUUACCUUUAGGGUAAUGAAGUCUUGCUUCCAUCUCCGCAGAGAAUAGUAAGCUCUUUGACCCAAGACUUGCAGCAGGAAGUUGCAGCAAGGAAGAACCUGCCCCAGGCUGCAGCUGCUGCCUGUGCUGUGGGGUUUCAGUCUGCGGCAGAGGCUGCAGGCGCCGUGUUCCAGGUGUCCUUCUGCAGGGGUUUGGAGCAGCUGUGUGCAGAAGCGUGUAACUUGGGCUCGGUAACGCUGUUUCAAAGAGCUGGAUGCGUAAAUGAUGCAACCUCCUCUGUUUCUCAAUGGGCGCUUGUAACGCGCGGACAGUGCGGUUGGUUUCCUGGUUUGUUUUCGUUACGGCUGCCAUUGAGGCCCUGCUGUAGGAAGCCAAGGAGCCUUGUUCUUUAUGAAGCCGGUGGAACAGCUGGACCUCUAUCCAUCACUGGGAUAAAUAGGAUCCAACAGCAGAGCCGGAUGUUUCUUCCUCUUGUCUUACUGGCAAACGUAACCAGCAUCCUUCCUUGUAAGCCUGUCAUUGAGGCCUGGUGAGGUAAUUAGAAGAUUUUUGCUCAAAACAACUGAAAUCGAAGAGAAGUUGCUGAAGAAAUCUCUGCCAGGCACCAGGCCGUCUUCCUGCUGCCAUUACCCUGCGAGCUGCCUGUCCCCAGAGCUGUCAGCCUGCCCGCAGGCGAGAUGGCCACCGGGAGUGCCACGUGGAAAUAGCUCCCAGUUUGCUGCUCGCUGCUUCCUUUGAGAGCUGAGCCUGGUUUGUGCUGAAGAAGGUGCCGUCCUUCGAGCAUUUGUUUACUUAUUUAUCGAGGUCAGCAAAGUAAGGAGUAAUGAUGGGGGUGAGACGAACAGCGGGCAUCUGAUCUGUGAGAGCUGCAGAGUGUGAAAUUAAAAAGCAGAGUGGCUUCGUGCUAUUGUUUGCUGGAGAAAAAGCUCCCAGCUCGCAGAUGGCUCCCGAAGAUUUUUGAUUUCAUCGCGGCCAUUUAAAUGUUGUUUGUGAAGCACUGCGUGAUAGUGAGACUAUGUGAGAUAGCCGAAAGGUUUACAAGAGCCAACCUUGGCAACAUAAAUCUGAUCUGAAUUUCAAGAGAUGCCACUUAGCUUUUCCCAAAGAGCCGUGAGGCUGGUAUUAGGCAGUUGGGUAUCGCUGUAGUGGCUUUGGAGUAUGCGACGAUCAACAUCUCCUUCAAUUUCCAGAGGCUUUGUAGGAGUUGUUCUUCCAGAUGUUUGUGUGGACGUUAACUUUGAAGGUCACUUGUUUUUUUGGUUGGUUUUUUUUUUUUGGAGCUGUCUUUGUCUUGAAUUCAGGAACGUGUUUGUCCUCUGGGCAGAUUUGAUUCAGGUCGUGCCGAACCCUGCAGGUAAAAGAGCAUUGGCCACCGUGACGACGAAACGGGAAGCUUUGCAAAAGGAAGGUUGGGCAGGAUUGUGCCGAGGAGCUGAGCGGAGCGAUGCGUGCUUCCAGGAGAUGUGCUGUACCCGGAGAUCACGUUGGUGCUGCACGGCUCGGGUCCUGCUGGCAGCAGGCUCCAGCGGCUGGAGGGCUGCAUGCUAAUGAACGCCUGAAGGAUGGGGGAAAGCGGCCGCGUGCUCCUGCCAAAGCGCUGCUCCUUACCUUGGUGGUGAAGACCAAAUGCCUGGCUCGGAUUUAAAAAUGAGUUCCUCUUAACGCUUACGGUAAAAGGUUGAGGAAUGUGGUCAUAACUAGUCAAUUAGAACGGCAUUCUUCAGCGCUUCCUUGGCUUGAUGUUAAGGCGCAGGAAAUGCUCUUUCCGUGCGGAGGGGCCGGCAGUCCGGGUGCAGCAUUCAUCAGUCUUUGUUAGUGCAGCGAGCUGCCUUGAUGAACAGUUCAUUAACCAGGAGAAGCAGAAUCGCUCUUUUAAUGCGCUGCUGUGGCGGGCAGGCCUUAACAGCGAGCACAAAAACUCGGGGGGUGAAGCUGGGAGCUCCAGCCUCGCCGCCGCACUGACGCUCAUCUUUCCCCCUCCUUUGGGAAGAAGCAUUCCCUUAAAUGCUGCUUUGUGAGAGCUUUAUUUAAGGUUACUGUAUACACAGGAUCGCAUAGUUGUUGAGAAGAUAGCUCAAAUAUUAAAAAAAAAAAAACAAAAACAUGCCAAUAGCAUGCACAUUUAGGAA